UCGAGAAUCUUCCGCAAUGGGCGAAAGCCUGACGGAGCGACACCGCGUGUAGGAUGAAGGCCCUCGGGUCGUAAACUACUGUCACGCUAUAAGAACAGGUCUUCGGACCCUGACUAAAGCGAGAGGAAGCACCGGCUAACUCCGUGCCAGCAGCCGCGGUAAGACGGAGGGUGCAAACGUUACUCGGAAUCACUGGGCAUAAAGCGCACGUAGGCGGCCCGUUAAGUCGGAUGUGAAAGCCCUCGGCUCAACCGAGGAAUUGCAUUCGAUACUGGCGGGCUCGAGGGUGGUUGGGGUGAGUGGAACUCCAGGUGGAGCGGUGAAAUGCGUAGAUAUCUGGAGGAACACCGGUGGCGAAGGCGACUCACUGGACCACUACUGACGCUGAGGUGCGAAAGCUAGGGGAGCGAACGGGAUUAGAUACCCCCGUAGUCC
rnacentral:rRNA from 1 species